rfam:Sus scrofa chromosome 3.
AUCAUGUCUCAGCCUUUUGGCUAAGAUCAAGUGUAGUAUCUAUUGUUAGCAGUAGUAGUUGAUGCAGUGGGUACUGUUAUUACUCGGUUUUGUAAAUGAGGAAUUGGAAGCAGAGAGGUAAACACAU